GACGUAGGGCGCGAGCGUUGUCCGGAUUUAUUGGGCGUAAAGAGCUCGUAGGCGGCUUGUCGCGUCGACUGUGAAAUCCCGCGGCUCAACUGCGGGUCUGCAGUCGAUACGGGCAGGCUAGAGUUCGGUAGGGGAGACUGGAAUUCCUGGUGUAGCGGUGAAAUGCGCAGAUAUCAGGAGGAACACCGAUGGCGAAGGCUGGUCUCUGGGCCGAUACUGACGCUGAGGAGCGAAAGCGUGGGGAGCGAACAGG
rnacentral:rRNA from 1 species